rnacentral:misc_RNA from 1 species
ACUCUCCUCAAAUGGCAUCUUCCAUCUUGCAUUAUAGGAGUCAAAUGGAGCCUUCAAUAUCAAUAGAUCCUCCUUUUCAUGGUUCCCUUGAGUUACCAUCCAUGGUCUCGCACUAGCAAGUGGCUCCACAAGCUCACCGAAUGUGUCCCACCGAUGCUGCAAGUAAUCGGCAUAGGAUAGGUCACCUGGAAGAAGAUGUACAUCAUAUUUGCAUAGAUCAAUGUGUUCUAAUGUUGAUUUGGUCCAUCCAGUUUGACCCAGAUCCCCUGCCACUGAAAAAGUAAUUGGCAACUGGGAAGGAGGUGUCUUCAGCUGGAACUCAGAACCUUCCCCUCCACAUCGGUAAUAAUAAACAGUGCCAGGCUUUAAGGGUCCAAUUACUG